GAUCCUGAGUGCUUAUACUAUGUAUAGGCUUUUGCCAAGAGUAAAUAUCUUGGCGAAUAAGUGGUGGGUAAGACUGGUGCCAGCAGCCGCGGUAACACCAGCGCCACGAGUGGCAACCGUAUUUAUUGGGCCUAAAGCGUCCGUAGCCGGUUUGAUAAGUCUUUUGUGAAAUCGUUGCGCUUAACGUAACGACUUGCAAGAGAUACUAUUAGACUUGGAACUGGGAAGAGUCAGAGGUAUUCUGAGGGGAGCGGUAAAAUGCUAUAAUCCUCAGAAGACCACCUGUGGCGAAGGCGUCUGACUAGAACAGCUUCGACGGUGAGGGACGAAAGCCAGGGGAGCAAAACGGAUUAGAUACAGCUUUUUGCGUUCGCAAAACCUGGGAAAAAUACCAGCGAGUACGACAUUUCAUUAGGAAAGUCGUACGCACACACAACUGUUGUUUUUGCUGCAAAACUACUGCAAUAUCAGAUGCGAUUUAUCGCAGAAAGCUGCUAAUUACCCGAGUAGUCCUGGCUGUAAACUCUGCGAGCAAGGUGUUACAUAUCCUUCGUGGAUAUGUGGUAUCGAAACGAAGGUGUUAAGCUCGCCGCCUGGGAAGUAUGGU
rnacentral:rRNA from 1 species